AGAGUUUGAUCAUGGCUCAGAACGAACGCUGGCGGCGCGUUUUAAGCAUGCAAGUCGAACGGUAGAGAGGUGCUUGCACCUCUUGAGAGUGGCGAACGGGUGAGUAACACGUAGGUAAUCUGCCUUUGGGUUGGGGAUAGCCCAUGGAAACAUGGGGUAAUACCGAAUAAGGUCUUCACUGCACAAGCAGUAUUGAAGAAAGGCGCUAAGGCGCCGCCCGAAGAUGAGCCUGCGGCUCAUUAGUUAGUUGGUAGGGUAAAGGCCUACCAAGGCGAUGAUGAGUAGCCGGCCUGAGAGGGUGAACGGCCACACUGGGACUGAGACACGGCCCAGACUCCUACGGGAGGCAGC
rnacentral:rRNA from 1 species